UACGAAGGGGGCUAGCGUUGCUCGGAAUCACUGGGCAUAAAGCGCACGUAGGCGGAUUGUUAAGUCAGGGGUGAAAUCCUGGAGCUCAACUCCAGAACUGCCUUUGAUACUGGCGAUCUCGAGGCCGGGAGAGGUGAGUGGAACUGCGAGUGUAGAGGUGAAAUUCGUAGAUAUUCGCAAGAACACCAGUGGCGAAGGCGGCUCACUGGCCCGGUACUGACGCUGAGGUGCGAAAGCGUGGGGAGCAAACAGG
rnacentral:rRNA from 1 species